AACGAACGCUGGCGGCAUGCCUAACACAUGCAAGUCGAACGAGACCUUCGGGUCUAGUGGCGCACGGGUGCGUAACGCGUGGGAACCUGCCUUUAGGUUCGGAAUAACUCAGAGAAAUUUGAGCUAAUACCGGAUGAUGUCUUCGGACCAAAGAUUUAUCGCCUUUAGAUGGGCCCGCGUUGGAUUAGCUAGUUGGUGGGGUAAAGGCCUACCAAGGCGACGAUCCAUAGCUGGGCUGAGAGGAUGAUCAGCCACACUGGGACUGAGACACGGCCCAGACUCCUACGGGAGGCAGCAGUGGGGAAUAUUGGACAAUGGGCGAAAGCCUGAUCCAGCAAUGCCGCGUGAGUGAUGAAGGCCUUAGGGUUGUAAAGCUCUUUUACCCGAGAUGAUAAUGACAGUAUCGGGAGAAUAAGCUCCGGCUAACUCCGUG
rnacentral:rRNA from 1 species